rnacentral:rRNA from 1 species
CACUCCUACGGGAGGCAGCAGUGGGGAAUUUUGGACAAUGGGCGAAAGCCUGAUCCAGCAAUGCCGCGUGAGUGAAGAAGGCCUUCGGGUUGUAAAGCUCUUUUGUCAGGGAAGAAACGGUGAAAGCUAAUAUCUUUUGCUAAUGACGGUACCUGAAGAAUAAGCACCGGCUAACUACGUGCCAGCAGCCGCGGUAAUACGUAGGGUGCAAACGUUAAUCGGAAUUACUGGGCGUAAAGCGUGCGCAGGCGGUUUUGUAAGUCUGAUGUGAAAUCCCCGGGCUCAACCUGGGAAUCGCAUUGGAGACUGCAAGGCUAGAAUCUGGCAGAGGGGGGUAGAAUUCCACGUGUAGCAGUGAAAUGCGUAGAUAUGUGGAGGAACACCGAUGGCGAAGGCAGCCCCCUGGGUCAAGAUUGACGCUCAUGCACGAAAGCGUGGGGAGCAAACAGGAUUAGAUACCCCAGUAGUCCC